GACGAACGCUGGCGGCAGGCUUAACACAUGCAAGUCGAGCGGAGAUGAGGUGCUUGCACCUUAUCUUAGCGGCGGACGGGUGAGUAAUGCUUAGGAAUCUGCCUAUUAGUGGGGGACAACAUUCCGAAAGGAAUGCUAAUACCGCAUACGUCCUACGGGAGAAAGCAGGGGAUCUUCGGACCUUGCGCUAAUAGAUGAGCCUAAGUCGGAUUAGCUAGUAGGUGGGGUAAAGGCCUACCAAGGCGACGAUCUGUAGCGGGUCUGAGAGGAUGGUCCGCGACACUGGGACUGAGACACGGCCCAGACGCCUACGGGAGGCAGCAGUGGGGAAUAUUGGACAAUGGGCGGAAGCCUGAUCCAGCCAUGCCGCGUGUGUGAAGAAGGCCUUUUGGUUGUAAAGCACUUUAAGCGAGGAGGAGGCUACCUAGAUUAAUACUCUGGGAUAGUGGACGUUACUCGCAGAAUAAGCACCGGCUAACUCUGUGCCAGCAGCCGCCGCAACAC
rnacentral:rRNA from 1 species